rnacentral:rRNA from 1 species
GCGCGUAAAUUGCCCGAAUCCUGACACAGGGAGGUAGUGACAAGAAAUAACAAUACAGGGCUUCUAAAGUCUUGUAAUUGGAAUGAGUACAAUUUACAUCUCUUCACGAGGAUCAAUUGGAGGGCAAGUCUGGUGCCAGCAACCGCGGUAAUUCCAGCUCCAAUAGCGUAUAUUAAAGUUGUUGCAGUUAGAACGCUCGUAGUCGGAUUUCGGGGCGGGCCGACCGGUCUGCCGAUGGGUACGCACUGGUCGGCGCGUCCUUCCUUCCGGAGACCGUGCCUACUCUUAACUGAGCGGGGGCGGGAGACGGAUCGUUUACUUUGAAAAAAUCAGAGUGUUUCAAGCAGGCAGCUCGCUCUUGCAUGGAUUAGCAUGGGAUAAUGAAAUAGGACUUUGGUGCUAUUUUGUUGGUUUCGAACACCGAAGUAAUGAUUAACAGGGACAGUCAGGGGCACUCGUAUUCC